CUAUCUACUUGGACCGAAGACUUCAAUCUGGAAACACAGACGGGAGCCAAAGUACAGCAACGGGACAACUGAAUUCAGAAGUAGCGCAAUCAAAAGAGAUCAGUACAAGCAGUAGAAAAUUAUGUUUCUUUAUGUCUUUCGAAUGGACUUUCCCCCCUGCUGUCAUAAGGUUCGACGCAUUUUAAAUGCCGUUAUGAGAAAGGAUUGUUGUCGGUGGGAGGGACGGAUAGCGUGGCGUAUUCAGGAUGCGUGAAACAAUGUGUCCAUUGCCUCGAUCCAAUAUGAAAAUGAGAUCAUGUGACACCAUGUGACUAGAGGUGAAAGACUAAGCCAUCUGUCAGAGGGGGGAGCAGGAGGAGGUCUACGAAUGGGAAACUGGGAACAGGCAGGUAAGUGACACUCGUUCAAGUAAAACACCACCCCCCCCCCGGCCUAACCAGCCCAUCAAACUGACGCUCUGGCCGGUCGCGAUAAAAGAGAACGGGGGG